GAUGAACGCUGGCGGCGUGCUUAACACAUGCAAGUCGAACGUGAAGGGCGCAGUAAUGUGCCUGGAAAGUGGCAAACGGGUGAGUAACACGUAGAUACCUGCCUCGCAGUGGGGGAGUAACCACGGGAAACGUAGUGGCUAAUACCGCAUGGUCUUGAUGAUGCGGGAGCAUCGACAAGUAAAGCUUUACGUGCUGCGAGA
rnacentral:rRNA from 1 species